UAGAGAAAAUUUUUUGUAAAGAAAGGUGCUAAAAACUAUUUGGCAAGUUUUCUGAACUUGUCACUUUUUUCCACUUUUGAACCGAACAACCUGUGUACCAUAAAAUAAUAUCAUACUGUUCUUUUUUGUUUUUAUCAAUCCCAGUCCCACAAGCACAAAUGGGUUGGAAAUUGUAAAAGAAAGAUAAUGAACGACGUUUCUGGUUCAUUUUAAGGUUACAACGAACAUUUCAAAAUUACACUGAUUAAGUCGUUUAAAAAUAUCACCAUUGCUUUCUAUAAAUUUUUUAUGAUACCUAUGUAGGUACCUACUUUUUUUCGGCUGCGUUUUUACUUUUUAGUGAAGUUGUUACACGAGUACUUACCUAACCAACUGGUACCUACCAAUAUAAUUUCAGCCCAUGAGAAUAAUACCAGUACGUGUACCUAUUUCACUACAUCUUGGAUGAUAUUUUCCGUAUUAUGAAUACGACGUUGCAAAAAACAUGAAGCCAUAUUUGUUUUUGUUUUUGUUCGCUGUACUGUUGGUUGUUCUUGUACAACUUAUAGCAAUGUCAGAAUCUCACAAACCAGAUGCAGAAUGUGCUCAGCAUAUAUUGCAGGGAAAAAGCUGUCCAUGUUUGCAGGGUAGAUAAUUUAUCCGAUGGUAAAAAAUGUGUGUAUAUCUCGUAUUAACGCUAAUAUAAUAUUAAAAUAAUACUUUAAUAAGAA